AAGCGUGGGGAGCAAACAGGAUUAGAUANCCCUGGUAGUCCACGCCCUAAACGAUGUCAACUAGUUGUUGGGGAUUCAUUUCCUUAGUAACGAAGCUAACGCGUGAAGUUGACCGCCUGGGGAGUACGGUCGCAAGAUUAAAACUCAAAGGAAUUGANCGGGGACCCGCACAANCGGUGGAUGAUGUGGAUUAAUUCGAUGCAACGCGAAAAACCUUACCUACCCUUGACAUGUACGGAACCUGGCUGAGAGGCUGGGGUGCUCGAAAGAGAGCCGUAACAUCAGGUGCUGCAUGGCUGUCGUCAGCUCGUGUCGUGAGAUGUUGGGUUAAGUCCCGCAACGAGCGCAACCCUUGUCCUUAGUUGCUACGACAAGAGCACUCUAGGGAGACUGCCGGUGACAAANCCGGAGGAAGGUGGGGAUGACGUCAAGUCCUCAUGGCCCUUAUGGGUAGGGCUUCACACGUCAUACAAUGGUCGGANCCAGAGGGCUGCCAACCCGCCGAGGGGGAGCUAAUCCCAGAAAACCGAUCGUAGUCCGGAUCGCACUCUGCAACUCGAGUGCGUGAAGCUGGAACUCGCUAGUAAUGCGCGGAUCAUGCAUG
rnacentral:rRNA from 1 species